UUUCUCCAUAUGUCCCAGCCUAUCCCCCUUUACCGAGGCCAACAGCCCCCUCAGAAAUGAGAUUCAGGAGCUAACAUGCCCCAGGUCUCACCUCAAAGGGGAGGAUCGGAGCCUCGAGAGGCCGAGGAAGGAAGUCAAGAUAGUCAAGUGGGCCCUCUCAGAUCUGGUCUUGCUCGAGCUAUGCAAAUGCCUCUCAGGGAGACGCGAGGACCUGUCUAUUAUAAUGACCAGGCCCACAUCUGGGGGGGCAACAGACUUUCAUCUAUCAGCCCUUUUCAACCAUUGAUCUACUAAACUGGAAAUACCCUGAACCCUCCACCUUGCUCCUGGCAGCUAGAGCCCUGUCGAGCAUAACUGUGUAGAGGUGUUGGACUCAAGUUUACUCUAGCAGACCUGACCUCCAGGACCAGCCUUGGGCAUCAGUAAACUGGGAGCUAUACGUGGACGGGAACAGCUUCAUCAACCCACAAGGAGAGAGAUGUGCAGAAUAUGCGGUGGUAACCCUGGACACUGUCGUUAAGCUGAGCUGAUUGCUUUAAUUCAGUCCUUAGAACUCAGUGAAGUUGCAGGUGUUGUGUCUUGGAUCCAUCACAGUCAGCUAACACUGGCAGCUCAGGACAAGUGGACCAGCCAGCAGGAUGCAGAUCACCCAACCUGGCUGAUCCUGAGACGAGACCAAGCUGCUGCUGAGGACGACAGCCCUGCUCUGGUCACUCCGGAGGCUGACCAGUCUACGCACGGCCGAAGCUUGAGGACUCAUCGAGCAAGUAAAUGUAGUUAAAAAUCUUAAGACUAAUAGUUUUCCUGUAAUACUAACUGUUUUCCUAUUGUUCGGUCGCUGUAUUCAACCUUUUUCCCAGGUAAGGACCUCUUUUGUCCUUGCUGGAUACGAAUAUGCUGUACAUUGUUUUGUUGUUGUUAACCCCCAUAACCAUGUUAGAAGAAACACCUAUAUAAGGUGUCCCCACUGUACACAUACUACUUAGGAAACCCAGACCUGUCCAGCCCAGUAACAAUUCUGAGUCUUUCAGUCAUUCUUUAAACAUAUAAACCAGAAGUUACCAGAACCUCCUCCUUUAGCAAAAACAGAAAAAACCUAUUUGCUCAGCUGGCUGAAAACAUUGCUAGCUGCCUAGAUGUUUCUUCAUGUUAUGUUUAUAAAAAGGCUAACAUAAGAGACCAAUGGCCUUGAGAAGCAAAAGAGUUAAUGCCUCAAGAUAACUUUAACUAGCUCUUUCCCCAAACAGAUGCCACAAGUUCAAGCAUCUGGCUCUUAAAACUUCUAUUAUUAAAAAAUACCAUGUUACUCACUAGGAAAAAGCUUUUAAGACACAGUAAAAAGAACUAACCUGCUUAAGGCAUGACAAAGUUGGUACAUGUGCAUAUACAGGUUUAACACAGGUCUGAUCCUAGGUGUUCAUUUAGAACAUAGUUUCCAGCUGUAAGAAAAUUUAAAACCCUCAUUGUAAGUGUAUUACUAGUAAUAGGAACUUGCUUGCUGCUCCCCUGUAUAUUAUAUUUGCUCCUUCAAAUGAUAAAAGGUUUUGUAGCUACCAUGGUUCAGCAGAAAACUUCAACACAAGUAUAUUACAUAAAAUACUAUCACUCUGUCUCACAAAAAGACUCAAAAAGUAAAAAUAAAAGAACUCCCACUGAUUAGUGAAAAUUCUCAAAGGGGGAGAUAAGGAAGGAGACCACUACUACUCCUGCUGCCCUCCUCUCCCCACCUUGCCUAGUUCGCAAGACAGGAGGAGAGAAAAACAAAAAGUUGGAAAAAAAACAAAAGUAAGAUAAACAGCCAGACAACCUUGGCACCACCACCCGGCCUUAGGAGUUAAAAAAAGUAAUAAUGAUAACCUCAACCCCUGACCUAAACUACUUGUGUUGUCUGUAAAUUUCAGACACUGUAUGAAAAAAAGCAUUGUAAAACUUUUUGUUCUGUUAGCUGAUGCAUAUAGCCCCCAGUCAUGUUUCCCAUGCUUGCUUGAUGUACCACGACCCUUACACGUGGACCCCUUAAAGUUGUAAACCUUUAAAAAGGCCAAGAAUUUCUUUUUCGGGGAGCUCGGCUCUUAAGACACGAGUCUGACAAUGCUCCUGGCCGAAUAAAAACCUCUUCCUUCUUUAAUUCAGUGUCUGAGGAGUUUUGUCUGUGGCUCGUCCUGCUACAAUAAAAGGUUAAAAAGAGUCUAUAAAAUCUUACCUUAUGGUCAAACAUUAAAAAUUAGAUAAAUAUGUCUACAAGGUUUUAUUAAAA
rnacentral:lncRNA from 10 species